rnacentral:tRNA from 1 species
GCCGGAGUGGCGGAACUGGUAGACGCGCUGGACUCAAAAUCCAGUGGGGCUUACCCCCCGUGGGGGUUCGAUUCCCUCCUCCGGCACCA